rnacentral:rRNA from 1 species
UAGSAAGCAGUCGAGCGGAUGARUGGAGCUUGCUCCWUGAUUCARCKRCGGACGGRUGAGUAAUGCCUASGAAUCUGCCUGGYAKKGGGGGACAACGUUUCKMARGGAACGCUAAUACCGCAUACGUCCUACKGKASAAAGUGGGGGAUCUUCGGACCUCACGCUAUCMGAUGAGCCUAKGUCGGAUUASCUASUUGGUGAGGUAAAGGCUCACCAAGGCGACGAUCCGUAACUGGUCUGARAGGAUGAUCAGUCMCACUGGAACUGAGACACGGUCCAGACUCCUACGGGAGGCAGCAGUGGGGAAUAUUGGACAAUGGGCGAAAGCCUGAUCCAGCCAUGCCGCGUGUGUGAAGAAGGUCUUCRGAUUGUAAAGCACUUUAAGUUGGGAGGAAGGGCAGUAAGUUAAUACCUUGCUGUUUUGACGUUACCAACARAAUAAGCACCGGCUAACUUCGUGCCAGCAGCCGCGGUAAUACGAAGGGUGCAAGCGUUAAUCGGAAUUACUGGGCGUAAAGCGCGCGUAGGUGGUUCGUUAAGUUGGAUGUGAAAGCCCCGGGCUCAACCUGGGAACUGCAUCCAAAACUGGCGAGCUAGAGUAUGGCAGAGGGUGGUGGAAUUUCCUGUGUAGCGGUGAAAUGCGUAGAUAUARGAAGGAACACCAGUGGCGAAGGCGACCACCUG